UUCCUCUUGAAGAUCAUAAAGAUACUGUCAUCACUCAGAACUGUGUAAGAAGGAGGAAACUUAGUUUAUACAUUUAUCAGAGCUCUGCUGAGGUUGAAUGGAAGUGAGACAGAACACUCCUGUAUUUUGCUGUGUGCAGCCCUCCAGGUCCUGAUCCUGCAAAACCUUUCAAUAUAUGCUUUGCUUUAAGUCUUUUCCUAGAUUUCAUAGCUAUGCAGGAAGGUAUAUGCCAAGGCAAUGUGCCAGUCAAGGCUCUGGUGACGAAAAGAGCUGAAAAUUCACCUAAUCCACGGCUACUACAAUGCAGGAUUGCAGUUUGCAGUACCUGGGACCAGCUUUCUGCCUUGCGUUCAGCUCAAGACCCCCUCAUUCUGCAAACGCUUCCAGGCUUCAGAAGGACGACUGCUGGAGUGAGUUACAGCCCCAUAGGGCAACCCUUCACCACUUCAGAGAACCAGGGGCCACCACAUGUCUGGGUUCAGGCCCAAGAACACACUGCAUCACCACAGCAUAAUGAAAUCAAAGAGAGGAACAGAUUUCAACACACAACACAGCAGAUGAUUUUCAUCAAUUGUCUGAAGAAACAGAAGAGCAAGUUUCCCAUAUGCUUAAAGCCAACAUGGAAAGAUUCAUCAGCCAAUAUGAGCUGGGACAAAAAAGAAAAAUAAGCAUGUUACUGAAGAAGUGCUGACAAUGACUGAGGUUCCAGGCCACAGCUUGUCACCACACAGGCUGCUUCCUCGCCUUUGGCAACCACUGGGACAGAAGGACAGUUGGUAUAAGAAACAAGCAGAGCCUUGGCUCCAGUCGCUGACUGGAAGGAGAACGGAGUGUUUGGGGGAAACUCCUGUCCCCAAGGACCAAGGAAGAAGGAGUGGUGGAACCAAGUCAGAGACAUUGGCCUCAGCAUCCCCCUGCCUGCUGCAGCACCACAGCUGAUACUGCUUUUGCUCUGGGUUCUGUCAUGAUCGAGCCCUCUGUGUUUGUGCUAAUCCCUGACUGAAUUUUUCCUAUGUAGCUGCCAGACCUUCUGAAUAUCUUCUUCUAACCUUAGUCACUUGAACCUAAAGAAAUAAUCCCAUAGUUCAUGGUGCUUUGUUAUUUGAAUACAGAGUGGAAGACAGUACCACAUCCUGGCUAUGAUCAAAGUGACAUACAUAUCACCUCAUCUGUCAGAAACAAGCUGAAGUUUCUGGAUGGACAUGGCUGAAGAGAGGCAGAAUGGUGGAAGGACAAUUUUCCCACCCUGGGGAAAAUAUUUACACAAAAAGAAUCACAAAGCAGAGCAAAAAGUUGACAUUUCAAAUAAAAAAUAUUGAAUUAUGUCCAAGGAUGCAGUCUUUGGAUCAUCUUCUAAUUGCCUUUUUCUCCAGGUUGCUACACCUUAGACCAGCUGGGCAGACUGGCUGUUUUCUUCAGUUAUGCAAGUUAGUCUAAAAAAAGUCAUUAACUCUUUUUGUGUAUUUUGUUUCACCACAAUGAUCAGACAAUUAUUUCCUUUAGUUUUUUAAAACUUUUGCAAUGUUUUGACUUAAAUAUUUUUUUAAGUACUACGUUUGAUUUAUAUAUCAAAGCAAAAUGUUAUUUGAAGAAACAUGAUAAAUGUUUUCUUUCCAAAAAGUGUCAUACUAGAGUAAUUUUAAUAAAUACUAAAAUCAAAUACUUAUAAGAUAGGAUGUUUUCUAGAGCCACUGCUUUUCAAUAAGCAAUGGACUGACACUAAAACAAUCAAAUAUAUAUUUAAAAAAAUAAAUAAAUAAAAGCACUACAUCAGCAAAGGGAUUUUUGCCAAAAUGAAAAAGGCAGUAAAGAAGAAUGGAAAUUAAUCCUGCAUCAUCUUUGGAACAAGCAAAAAGAAAGGAAGAAAAAGAGAGGGGAGAAAUCUCCAAAUCUUGUCCAAGUAAUGGAUUCCAAGGGAAAAGUCAGUACAGCAUGUUAAUGAAUAACCAGGUGUUUCCAAAGCCAGGAAAUCUCCCCUUCCAUUCAACAGAUUUCAGCCUAGAGUGAGCUCCCCUUCUUGCUCCCAGUUCAUUCGUACACACUGAAUUCUCAGUCAAAUUGCUUUCUGUGUGCCUUCUGCAAUGCUUAUUAAAAUCAAGGAAAGUCUUUGCACCAUUUGGGUUUGGAGCCGUCUCCAAGCACGGCUAUGCUGUGGUUAUUGCAACACUUCAGUUUGCUCCUAGACGUGACACCACAUUUUCCAUUACAAUAAGCUUUCCUUUCUUGUGGCCAUUUUAAUUAUGCACAGAAUAAACUGUUCUUCUAGCUAUUGAGCCAAAGUUUCAAAAGAUUUAAAACAGAAUCCAGUAUUCAUUCUGUCAGUUAUUUUUCCAAAUUCAUGUCUGAGAUUUAAUGAAAUGAUCACCCUGCCAUUUUGGUUUCACUUAACUAUUGACUUCAGCGAGCCUGUUAAGUGUAUCCCUACGUGUUUUCAGAUCAGAGUCUCCAUUUAUAGUGAGACAUCAGUCUGAGGAAUUAGCAUUUCCUCAUCUUCUUCUAGCGUUCAGCAGACAAGAUGGGUCUGUAGUAUAACAUGUCAGAGAACUACAAAGUCCCUUUGGACAAGCUUCCGUGAGAAUUAGAUCCUUAGGAUCAUUUGACAAGUGUUGUUCCUUUUUCUUUUGUUCCUCCUGUUGUCUUCUAUGGCAGGUAGAAAAUGAGCAAUUAGAAGGAUCUUAUGUCUUCCUGUAUUCAAUAAAAAGAGAUGUGUAAGAGG